rnacentral:lncRNA from 10 species
CUACAGAGCGCUCACUGGUGCGGUUUACAAUCCUAGCUACAGAGUGCUGAUUGGUGUGUUUUACAAUCCUCUUGUAAAACAGGAAAGUUCUCCAAGUCCCCACUCGACCCAGGAAGUCCAGCUGGCUUCACCUCUCAUUGAGUUUGCAGGAUGGCAGAAAUGAGGUUUCACCAUGUUGGCUAAGCUGGUCUCGAACUCCUAACCUCAAGUGAUCUGCCCGCCUCUGCCUCCCAAAGUGUUGGGAUUACAGGCGUGAGCCACUGUGCCCGGCCCCAGGAUUCUUAAAGCUUAUGGGUGUCCUACGAUCUGCCAUUUGUUUGGAAGCUGGAGAACCAAGAAAGCUGGUAGUCUUGCUCCAGUCCAAGCUCAAAGACCUGAAAACAGGGGAGCCAACAGUGUAAACCCCAGUGUGAAGUCCAAAGGCUUGAGAACCAGGAGGGCCAAUGGUGUAAGUUGCGAGUCUGAGUCUGAAGGCUGGAGAACCAGAAGCACCCGUAUCUGAGGUGGGGAGAAGACCGAUGUUCCAUUUCAAGUACCUUUUGUGGUUUCCCUACAUCCUGUUCACAAUUCUGUGAGGAGCCCCUUGAUAUAAACUGCGCUUGAAUCAUCCCAGUUGACGUGUGUGUCAACUGUUUCCUGCUGGGACUCUUGAUAUUCCAACUUCCUGAACAUGUAAGGAAAAGCCCUAACAAUGACCUAUAAAACCCCACAAGAUCAGGAUCUGCAUCUCCGAUUACCCUCUAAUCCCUGAAUCCCUAUUUUACCUGAGUCAUACUGGCCUCUGUGCUGUGGGUCUUUGCAUGCCAACAGUCCUCUUGCCACAAGUUCCUACUCAAUAGUCUCUCCUCAAAUGCACCUUAACUGGGGGCCUUUUCCUUCCUAUGCUACAUAAAAUGGAAAGUCCCCAGCCCUCCGUAACUCUCUCACAAUGCUUUAUUUUUCUGCACAACAUGAAUAUUGUUGAUUUUUCUUUUUCGAUGGAGUCUUGCUCUGUUGCCCAGGCUGGAGUGCAGUGGCGCGAUCUCGGCUCAUUGCAACCUCCACCUCCCAGGAUGAAGCGAUUCUCCUGCCUCAGCCUCCUGAUUAGCUGAGCGCACCACCACACCCAGCUAAUUUUUUUGUAUUUUUAGUAGAGAUGGCGUUUCACCAUGUUGGUCAGGCCGGUCUCAAACUCCUGACCUCAUGAUCUGCCCCAGCCUCCCAAAGUAUUGGAAUUACAGGCGUGAGUCACAGCGCCCGGCCAUGUUGUUGAUUUUUCUAUAAUUCACCCCUCCCCGUUAGGAUGUAAGUGCCUCAAUGGCAAAACUUGAGUUUCAUUCACUGCUCUAGACAUGGCAUCUCAAACAGUGCUUAGCCACAUGGAAUGUACUCAAUGAACAGGCUAGUGGUUAUGAGAAUCACCUGUCUGGAUUCCAAUCUGUGCUCUACCACUUACUAGCUGGUGAACUCAGGCAAGCAACCUAGACAUUUCCAUGCCAGUUUUCCCAUCUGUAAGUUGGAGACAGUAAUAGCACAGUUUGCAAGCUUAUAGUGAGGACGCAGUUAAUAUUUAUAAGGCACUUUGAAGAGCGCCUGGUCUAUAGGAUGGGCUAGCGAAAUGUUUGAUCUCUUUUUGUUAAUAUAUUUUCAUAUUACAAUUAUUUGGUAUGAAAAGGUAUGGCCCCUACUGAAAAUAAAUAAAUUCACAGGAGAAUAUCUAAACCUCUACGCACCUAGUUACAUUACACAUAAACAUAUAUAAAGUAAAAAUGACAGAAUUACAGAAAGAAUUUGUUAAUCUACCAUGCUAGUGGAAGACUUUAAUAUACCUCUAUCACUAAGUCAGGUCG